rnacentral:rRNA from 1 species
CAUGCAAGUCGAACGAUGAAGCCCUUCGGGGUGGAUUAGUGGCGAACGGGUGAGUAACACGUGGGCAAUCUGCCCUGCACUCUGGGACAAGCCCUGGAAACGGGGUCUAAUACCGGAUACCACCCUCUUCCGCAUGGGAGAGGGUUGAAAGCUCCGGCGGUGCAGGAUGAGCCCGCGGCCUAUCAGCUUGUUGGUGGGGUGAUGGCCUACCAAGGCGACGACGGGUAGCCGGCCUGAGAGGGCGACCGGCCACACUGGGACUGAGACACGGCCCAGACUCCUACGGGAGGCAGCAGUGGGGAAUAUUGCACAAUGGGCGAAAGCCUGAUGCAGCGACGCCGCGUGAGGGAUGACGGCCUUCGGGUUGUAAACCUCUUUCAGCAGGGAAGAAGCGAAAGUGACGGUACCUGCAGAAGAAGCGCCGGCUAACUACGUGCCAGCAGCCGCGGUAAUACGUAGGGCGCAAGCGUUGUCCGGAAUUAUUGGGCGUAAAGAGCUCGUAGGCGGCUUGUCGCGUCGGAUGUGAAAGCCCGGGGCUUAACCCCGGGUCUGCAUUCGAUACGGGCAGGCUAGAGUGUGGUAGGGGAGAUCGGAAUUCCUGGUGUAGCGGUGAAAUGCGCAGAUAUCAGGAGGAACACCGGUGGCGAAGGCGGAUCUCUGGGCCAUUACUGACGCUGAGGAGCGAAAGCGUGGGGAGCGAACAGGAUUAGAUACCCUGGUAGUCCACGCCGUANACGUUGGGAA